rnacentral:rRNA from 1 species
AGUGAACGCUGGCGGUAGGCCUAACACAUGCAAGUCGAACGGCAGCACAGGAGAGCUUGCUCUCUGGGUGGCGAGUGGCGGACGGGUGAGGAAUACAUCGGAAUCUACUCUGUCGUGGGGGAUAACGUAGGGAAACUUACGCUAAUACCGCAUACGACCUACGGGUGAAAGCAGGGGAUCUUCGGACCUUGCGCGAUUGAAUGAGCCGAUGUCGGAUUAGCUAGUUGGCGGGGUAAAGGCCCACCAAGGCGACGAUCCGUAGCUGGUCUGAGAGGCUGCUCGGCCACACUGGAACUGAGACACGGUCCAGACUCCUACGGGAGGCAGCAGUGGGGAAUAUUGGACAAUGGGCGCAAGCCUGAUCCAGCCAUACCGCGUGGGUGAAGAAGGCGUUCGGGUUGUAAAGCCCUUUUGUUGGGAAAGAAAUCCAGCUGGCUAAUACCCGGUUGGGAUGACGGUACCCAAAGAAUAAGCACCGGCUAACUUCGUGCCAGCCGCCGCCGUAA